rnacentral:rRNA from 1 species
UACGUAGGGUGCAAGCGUUAUCCGGAAUUAUUGGGCGUAAAGAGCUCGUAGGCGGUUUGUCGCGUCUGCUGUGAAAACCCGAGGCUCAACCUCGGGCCUGCAGUGGGUACGGGCAGACUAGAGUGCGGUAGGGGAGAUUGGAAUUCCUGGUGUAGCGGUGGAAUGCGCAGAUAUCAGGAGGAACACCGAUGGCGAAGGCAGAUCUCUGGGCCGUUACUGACGCUGAGGAGCGAAAGCAUGGGGAUCAAACAGG